rnacentral:ncRNA from 1 species
GCAACCUGCGGCUCGCGCACCGCAACCGCACCGUGUUUCUGAGCCUGCUCGGCAUUUCGUGGCUGUGGUUCGUGGGCGCGACGUUCUUGUCGUCGUUCUUCAACUUCGCGAAGGACGUGCUG